CUCAAGCAAUUCUCCCACCUUGGCCUCCCAAAGUGCUGGUAUUAACAGGCAUGAGCCACGGCGCCCAGCCACCUGUGGUUCUUCUGAGAAGGGGCUCAUUCAGUCAGGCCCGGGGCCCCUGGUUAGACUGAAAGUGUGGGUGGGCCAGGGGACUUCCAAACACCUGCAGCCCCAGCUGCUCCCGUUGACUCCCCCUGGGCCCUCCUUCCUCCCACUCCUUUUCCUCUGCACGGGAGGCAAGGUCCCAGGGAGGCAAAGGCAGGCCCAGAUGGGCCCAGGCAUUUCCUCAACCACUGAGAGGCCCAGGAUGAACUGGCCUGGGAUGAGGCCCUGCUAAUGAGCAAAGGCUUCAGUCCACUGAGCAGCACACGGUAGCAUAGAAGAAGGCCUGGUACACCAAUAGCAAAUUGCAUUUCCUUCUCAGAACCCUCGGCUCUGGUCUGGUACCUCCAGGCAACAACAGCCUGGCGGGCAGACAGGACAGGAGGCCUGGGAGCUGCACCUCACUCAAAGCCAGACUGGAGAGUGGUAAUUGCCUUCCCAGCUCCCAGCGGGUUUCGAAAAGGUAACACGACCAGGGUGCAGUUCCACCUCCCUUCUGUCGCCUCUGAACCUUGCCUUGGCCCAUGGCUCCUCCACCUGGACUGAUGCUAAGUAAGCAAAGUCUCCUCCUCUUUAUUCCCUGGCCAACCUGCCCAGCUCACAGUGGGGGCCUCAGCCAACGGUCAUCACCUGCAGCCUGAGAAAGUCUUUCUCACUGACUUGCCCCAGGAAGGGAUUCCACUCAGCUGACAAUCAUGAAGCUCUGGCUGGUCCCUGGUCCUGGGCAGGAGCAAAGCUGCAAAACAGCCCACAGGGAGCUCAGAGUGCCUGCGGUGAUGACGAUGACAAUGAUGGUGGUGAUGAUGAUGACAACGAUGGUCAUUAUCAUGGUGACCGAGUGGAGAACUUGGCACCAGGAGACCUAACUACAAAUGAUAACUACGCCACCAUUCGGCUGAAUGACCUUGGGGAGGUUACUCACCCUCUCUGGUCUUCAGUGGCAUCCGCUGUGACAUGGGGUGGGGGAACCUGCGCUGUGGCAAGUGCUUUCUAAAAAGAUUUGCCAUAGAGUACUCUGCGAGGGUCCCAGGUGAUACUGCACCAACACCUAGUUCAGUCCCUGACCAGUGUGGUCCCUGACCAGCAGCAUAAACAUCUCUUGGGCACUUAAUAGAAUUGCAAAUUCUCAGGCCCCACGGCAGAUCUACUGACCCAGAGACUCUGGGUAAGGUCGAGCAAUUGCACCUCUCACACCUUUGCCAAAGUGUGAGAACCCCUGGAAUAGAGAAAUGUCAAUGGUGUCUCCGGUCUCUUCACAGACGUGGCUCUGCUAGAGGACUGGCCUUUGGAGCAGAAGUUCACGGCCCAGAUCGAUCUCUUAGGAGGAAGGAUUAGAGAGUGGGACAUUGAGAGGGAGGCCUUCUGCGCACCCCUUAGUUCACCCACCAGAAAAAGCCAGGUCCACCGUUGAAUCAGCUCCUCCCCCAGUCCCAUGCCUGCCCACGUGGCCCUGGCCUGACUCCACCCAGACGCUGCAGGCUGCACAAGCCUUGAGCCCUCCACCCUGGCCCCUGCAGGCCCCACUCCUGCCGGCUCCUGCACCAGCCCCUCGUGUUGGCUGCACUGCCAUGGCAUAGGUCCAGCUGGCACCCUGUCACUCCACUCCCUCCCCUAGGGCCCCAGGUCACCCCAGCCCCAGCCAGCUUCCCAGCACUGCUUCUCCACUCCACCCACUCACCACAGCUCAGCACCGCUACACGCCCACUGCCACUGCCCCCAACUGUGCUGCUACUUUGGGGGACCCCAGCAUUCCUUUGCUCCCUCCUGCCCAUCCUGUGGCUGUCUCUGCUGAGUCACUCUUUAUUAGUGUCCUCCCAGACACCUGGCACAGGUGCCCCGAAGGGAUUGGGCCAGAAGCCAAUAGCAGCAAUUGCUGCCAUUUACCAAGUGCUGAUUCUGUACCAAGAACGUGAGAGUCCCUUGUAUCAGUUAUCCCACCAUUCAGAAACCUGUGGAUGGGGCCUCAGGACUCCCAUUUUACAGAUGGAUAAAUUGAGGGUCAGGAAGGAAAGAUCCCAAGGUCACACAGGGCCACAUAGCCAGUGAGAUGGGAGCCUGGGAUUUGAACUCCUGCCUGUCUGGCUGCAAAGCCAGCUCUCUCUAUCACCCCACACUGUCUCUUCUAGAGAGCCCUGGGGAGGAUGGGGGCCAGCCAGUGGGCAGCCUAGGAAGGGAGUCUCUGUAGCUGGAAAUGGCCAGUGUAUUUUCUUGAAACAGGGUAUCUAACAUUGACCGUGAAGUUUGUUUCCUGACCAGUUCUGUCUGUUUCCACUGACAGCCUCGUGAUACUGACUUUCAGGACACCCGACGAGAGGCAACGGAAGAAGGACCUCCUCUCUCUCCCCGCAGGAGUGCUGGGGGAUCCCUGACUUCCCUCAGUGCUCAGAUGCUGGGACGGUGCUGGGGCCACUUCAUUUGCUUGUUAAAGGAAACGCUGAGGCCAGGGGGCCAGAGGAUGUGGGGACAUCAGGGCACAGAAGUAACUCUUCCCUGAGACAAUGGCCGGGCCUAACCCUGCAGCCCCCAUGACCUCUCUGUCCCUGGGGUCUUAUGAGGACUCCUACAGUCAUGGAGCUGUGCUUUGUACCGUGGUCCCCAGCCUGGCACAGACUUUCUUAUGUGGCUCCACCAGGGACUUGACUGGGGGCAGCUGAGUGCCAUAAAAGAAGUUAAUGUGGCCUCAGGGUGGUGAUGGGUGAGGGGCUUUGGGUCUACCUGCCAUCCUCUGGGUCCCCUCUGGCCUCCAGUUAAGUGGCCCAUCCCAUUGGUCUCUGUCCACUGAGCUGACUGCCUCACGGGCCUUUGAGUGUCCCCCAGUACCCAAGGCAAGCGCCAUGGCUCCUGGUUCCCAGGUCCCUGUUUCAGGUGACCACCUCACCCCCUCCCUGCCUCAGCACCUCUGUGGCCCACCCCUGCAACUCCUGUGGGACACAGGCAGGUAUCACGGGUGGACAACAAGGAGCAUCUCAGGUCCGUCCACCUGGACGCCUCCCUCUACCUCGGGAUUUCACUCAAAGCGGCCUCCAGCUCUUGGCCGCUUCCUCCCACAGGUCUCACCCCCCACAAACCUCUCCCAGGCAAAGCAGAAUGCUUUCUCCUCCGCCUUCCUGUCACCCAGGAACCUCACUUCCAUUGUAUCCAGAAUUCCUUCUAUUUAUGGCUUAGAGUAAAAGUCUACGCUCAAAAUAAGCCGGCAUUGAUUCCUUAUAUUUAGAAGGAAGCUUUGGAAUUCAGAAAAAGUUGUUUUUCUUAACAAAACCCAGCGUUCGAGACUAUUGUUUUGCCUAGAAGACAAAACAAAAUGGAAAGCCUAAAUUGACUGUCAAAGUGAACAACACAUUUAUUUUUGUAGCAGAAGCCACCACUUCCCUGAAGUACUUAAGCCAUUGAUUCACUGGAUGCUACAGAGCAUCAAAAAACAAGAGCAAUUAAAAAUACACGAGUUUCAUUUUUUUAAUUGUUAACUCCAUAUACAAUGCUUAAAACUCUAAAAACUGGACUUAAUGUAAUCUUACUUAAUUAGAAUCAUAAACACUAUUUCGGAAUGUAUUUCAGAUGUAUAUCCUUGAAAGUGUGAUGCAAGUAUGACAAUUUAGGGAUAUAAGGCAUCAUAUAAGAUGUUUAAUGUCUGUACCAUGAAGCUGGACUGGGUUCAAGAAUGGGAGAUAUUGACAACCUGGACUCGGUUCAAGUUUGCUUUUAAUUUGAUUUCCUCCAGAAGCAUCAAGGAAGCAAUGCACAGGGGAAGCAGGUUGUAAAAAAGCUCCUGGGUAGACCAUGGCUCCCGUGUAGCCCGCUGAAUUGUUCUCUGACAUGAGUAGGCAGAGAUGCCAGCCAGGCUGGAGGGGCACAGAGCUGCAGACGCGCCCCCCUUUUCUUCCCUGCCUCAUCACCACCCGGGUGUUAAAUUCUUGCCGUGUGACACUGGGUGUUCCCCCCACAUCUGAGGCUGCACCGCAGUCUCCCAUCUGUGCCCUCUUGGGAACUUUACAUGGACGGCUCAGGCAUGGCCUGUCACACUGACAAGCAACCAAAAUAAUAUAAAUAAUAAAAGAAAUGACUUAAAACAGUAUCUUUUAGAAUAAUGAUUGCUGUGUGUUUCUUUGCAAAUUCUGCAGUUUUCAAACAUUAGUCCUCAGGUGGACAGAGUCACAGAGCAGCUGCUGCUGACCUCUUCCUCCUCCUUCCUACCCCACCUGGUGCCUCCACCCUCACACCCAGUUCCCAGGAGCCUGCCACUCAGGCCUCCUCGUGCCCAGACCAGACAGGGACAUGUGUGGACUUCCAAGGUGUACAUAUCCCCACUAUGGCCGAUUUUCAGCUACCCACAUGAUGUUACCAAAUACGGAGUUGGGAAGAGACACACGCCACUACAUUUCCAUCCCAGAGCUGCAACAGACACAAAUAAGCUUAAGUGCAUAGACAACAGUCAGAUCAGAUGCACAA